rnacentral:lncRNA from 1 species
CACAUUUUGAGUUCUUCUGUCUACCUGGACAGCCAUACAGUAACUACACCUGUUUCUCUUCCAAAAUACAGGAUGAUGCCCAUUCUAUUUCCUAGGAAGGGAUAAGUUUUAAGGCCUUAUAAAAAAGUAAAUGAUAGCUCCUUACAAAUACAGAGGACAAAAUAAAAGUGACUUAAUUAUAAAAACACAGUGACACAAAGUGAACCGGGUUCUAUAAAUUACCAUGGAAAGUGGUGAGCCAACGAUUUGGCAGAACAAAACCCUGAGGAUAUGCAAACAAAAGGGACUAUGGAAUUUGCAAUUGCAGAUUAAAAUUGAAGAAGAAAACAUUUGAGUUGCAAAUACCGUAUUAAAAGUGGACACUGCUUAUGACUGCUGUAUGCAACAGUUUUUCAGGCCCGAG